CGUCACACCUGUUUCCGUACGAUCACCGAAGUUAAGCAACGUCGAGCCUGGUCAGUACAUAGAUGAGUGACCGUUUGGAAUUACCAAGUGUUGUG